rnacentral:rRNA from 1 species
GAAGCAUAUCAAUAAGCGGAGGAAAAGAAACCAACAGGGAUUGCCUCAGUAACGGCGAGUGAAGCGGCAACAGCUCAAAUUUGAAAUCUGGCCCUAGGCCCGAGUUGUAAUUUGCAGAGGAUGCUUUUGGUGCGGUGCCUUCCAAGUUCCCUAGAACGGGACGCCAGAGAGGGUGAGAGCCCCGUACAGUUGGACACCAAGCCUUUGUAAAGCUCCUUCGACGAGUCGAGUAGUUUGGGAAUGCUGCUCAAAAUGGGAGGUAUAUUUCUUCUAAAGCUAAAUACCGGCCAGAGACCGAUAGCGCACAAGUAGAGUGAUCGAAAGAUGAAAAGCACUUUGAAAAGAGGGUUAAACAGCACGUGAAAUUGUUAAAAGGGAAGCGCUUGUGACCAGACUUGCGUCCGGUGAAUCACCCAGCUCUCGCGGCUGGGGCACUUCGCCGGCUCAGGCCAGCAUCAGCUCGCUGUCGGGGACAAAAGCUUCGGGAACGUAGCUCUCUUCGGGGAGUGUUAUAGCCUGUUGCACAAUACCCUUCGGCGGGCUGAGGUACGCGCUCCGCAAGGAUGCUGGCAUAAUGGUCAUCAGCGACCCGUCUUGAAACACGGACCAAGGAGUCAACCUUAUGUGCGAGUGUUCGGGUGUCAAACCCCUACGCGUAAUGAAAGUGAACGCAGGUGAGAGCUUCGGCGCAUCAUCGACCGAUCCUGAUGUUCUCGGAUGGAUUUGAGUAAGAGCAUAUAGGGUUGGACCCGAAAGAAGGUGAACUAUGCGUGUAUAGGGUGAAGCCAGAGGAAACUCUGGUGGAGGCUCGCAGCGGUUCUGACGUGCAAAUCGAUCGUCAAAUAUGCGCAUGGGGGCGAAAGACUAAUCGAACCUUCUAGUAGCUGGUUUCCGCC